UACGUAGGCAGCGAGCGUUGUUCGGAGUUACUGGGCGUAAAGGGUGUGUAGGCGGUUGUUUAAGUUUGGUGUGAAAUCUCCCGGCUCAACUGGGAGGGUGCGCCGAAUACUGAAUGACUAGAGUGUGGGAGGGGUGAGUGGAAUUCCUGGUGUAGCGGUGAAAUGCGUAGAUAUCAGGAGGAACACCGGUGGUGUAGACGGCUCACUGGACCAUAACUGACGCUGAGACACGAAAGCGUGGGUAGCAAACAGG
rnacentral:rRNA from 1 species